rnacentral:snoRNA from 1 species
CCGCGCAAUGACUGCAUACCAUCUUUCGGGGCAUAAAUCUGUUGAUGAAAGCAUAACCCCUUACUGAGCGCGC